UACGUAGGGGGCAAGCGUUGUCCGGAUUCAUUGGGCGUAAAGAGCGUGUAGGCGGCCAGGUAGGUCGGUUGUGAAACUGGAGGCUCAACCUUCAGAGGUCGACCGAAACCAUCUGGCUAGAGUCCGGGAGAGGAGAGUGGAAUUCCUGGUGUAGCGGUGAAAUGCGCAGAUAUCAGGAGGAACACCGAUGGCGAAGGCAGGUCUCCGGGCAUUAACUGACGCUGAGGAGCGAAAGCAUGGGGAGCGAACGAG
rnacentral:rRNA from 1 species